UACAGAGGUCCCGAGCGUUGUUCGGAUUCAUUGGGCGUAAAGGGUGCGUAGGCGGUCUGCUAAGUUUGGUGUGAAAUCCCGGGGCUCAACCCUGGAAUGGCAUUGAAUACUGGCGGACUAGAGUACCGGAGAGGAAACUGGAAUUUACGGUGUAGCAGUGAAAUGCGUAGAGAUCGUAAGGAAGACCAGUGGCGAAGGCGGGUCUCUGGACAGUUCCUGACACUGAGGCACGAAGGCCAGGGGAGCAAACGGG
rnacentral:rRNA from 1 species